ensembl:Y_RNA Y_RNA Y RNA
GGCUAGUCUAAGUGCAUUGGUGUUUACAAUUAAUUGAUCAUAGCCAGUUACGGAUUUCUUUGCUCCUUCCCCCCUCCCCACUGUUUCACUUGACUAGCCUAAA